GUCAGGAUGGCUGAGUGGUCUAAGGCGCUAGGCUCAAGUUCUAGUCCUUGUAAAAGGGCAUGGGUUCAAAUCCCACUUCUGACA